AUGUCCAUUUUUAUGUUAAGAUAUGCUACUGAUUAUCUGAGAAAGAUGAAUUGAAUAUUAAAUGAAAAAUCUAAAAUUUGAAUUAUUACAAAACUGCACUAUGGACUGGUGUCAUGUUUAACAAACUUGGUGCUGGCUCUAACAUUGGAUUGGCUUCUGCUUCAUUUCUAUAUUCUAUUCCAGUGUCCUAAAAAAAGAGUUCUUUGUCUUUAAACGUCGUUAAUGUUGCAGUCCUUAAAGGCAUUCACCUGCUUUUUCUGCCACCUGCUGCGAUGGCUCUUGAUAAAACUUAAAUAUGUGGGAUGAUCUUGGACAGUUUAAAGUGGGCCUCUGUUCCUGUAAAGUAGAUUGUGGUAAGGACCCGACACGCACACUGGAUUUCAUUCACUAUAGGUUAGUUUUAUUUUCGUUCUGAUGUUCCAGCAUCAGUCACACAGGAACAGCUGCUUCUUCCUCCCAGUCUCCGUCCCCGUCAUCACUAUUUAAAAAUAGAGAGAAGAAGAUGAUCACCUUGAGCAGUCACACCCGCCCUCUCAGCCACACCUCGGCACCGCCCCGAGAGCUCACUGUAACACCCCUCUACUGCAGCAGGCCGGAGACCACACCCCCGCCACAUAGAUCAUAUCACUACUGUGAGAUAAAAGUGAAAGAGCAGCUCACAGAUCAGUGGGAAGUCACAUCAGGAGAACAUUAAGUAUUUGUAGCAUGUGAUUCCCUUGUGUUUUCAGUCUGUGAAACAGCUGUUUGUCCCUUCACCAGGCAGUGAUGGCAGCAGCAGCGUUCAGGAGCAGAGGACUGGCUGGUGUCAGAAACACCAACGUUUUAAUCCUCAUCUUUCUGCUGUCCCUGGUUUAUGUCACAAAUUCACUGAUGAAAAUUCAUUGAGAGUAACAAACUAGAGACUACAUCCAAAUAUGCCUUCAGAGGACUCAGGGACCUGACUCACUUGUCUUUGGCAAACAAUAACAUUAAAGCCUUGCCCAGGGACCUCCUCAAUUCAAUUCAAUUCAAUUCAAUUUUAUUUAUAUAGCGCCAAAUCACAACAAAAGUCGCCUCAAGGCGCUUUAUAUUGUACAAUAGAUCGCACAAUAAUAAAUACAGAGAAAACCCCA